AUACGGAGGGUGCAAGCGUUGUUCGGAAUCACUGGGCGUAAAGGGCGCGCAGGCGGUUUGGUAAGUCAGAUGUGAAAGCCCAUGGCUCAACCAUGGAAGUGCAUUUGAAACUGUCAGACUUGAGUACUAGAGGGGAAAGUGGAAUUCCCGGUGUAGAGGUGAAAUUCGUAGAUAUCGGGAGGAAUACCGAUGGCGAAGGCGACUUUCUGGCUAGAUACUGACGCUGAGGCGCGAAAGCGUGGGGAGCAAACAGGAUUAGAAACCCCGGUAGUCC
rnacentral:rRNA from 1 species